UGCCAGACUCCUACGGGAGGCAGCAGUGGGGAAUAUUGGGCAAUGGGCGCAAGCCUGACCCAGCAACGCCGCGUGAAGGAAGAAGGCCCUCGGGUUGUAAACUUCUUUUAUCAAGGACGAAACAAAUGACGGUACUUGAUGAAUAAGCCACGGCUAACUACGUGCCAGCAGCCGCGGUAAUACGUAGGUGGCAAGCGUUAUCCGGAUUUACUGGGUGUAAAGGGCGUGUAGGCGGGACUGCAAGUCAGAUGUGAAAGCCAUGGGCUCAACCCAUGGCCUGCAUUUGAAACUGUAGUGCUUGAGUGUUGGAGAGGCAGGCGGAAUUCCGUGUGUAGCGGUGAAAUGCGUAGAUAUACGGAGGAACACCAGUGGCGAAGGCGGUCUGCUGGACAAUAACUGACGCUGAGGCACGAAAGCGUGGGAGCAAACAGGAUUAGAUACCCGUGUAAC
rnacentral:rRNA from 1 species